GCUGGUUCUUCCAGGAGCGCGCAUGAGCGGACGCUGCCUACUGGUGGCCGGGCGGGAUGUAACCGGCUGCUGAGCUGGCAGUUCUGUGUCGCUAGGCUUCUGCCCGGCCGCCGCCGCACAUAAGCCACGAGGAGGAGCUUUACGACUUCCCGGUCUUCGGCGCCGGGCGCAGCAAGGGCCAGACUCUGCGCUAGCAGGCGCUGCGCGCCAACCGGCCGGCACCUGUCGCAGAAGGUGCAACCGAUCGCACUGUCGCGCAGAAGCUCCUCAAUGGCCAGCGCCAGCUGCAGCCCCGGCCGCCCACUCGCCUCAUCUGAGCCUGGGCAAAUCUGGAUUGGGAAAGUUGACAUUAAUCAACUCAUUAUUCCUCACAGAUUUGUAUUCUCCAGAGUAUCCAGGUCCUUCUCAGAGAAUUAAAAAGCCUGUACAGGUCUAGAUAUUGGUAUUUUUAAUUGAUGAUAAGCUGGAAUAAUAUUAAUACACACAAAGCACGUGUUGUAACUUUCAUUAUGCUUCCUUAGAGCUCUGUUCACGGAAAGGGCCUGGGAGCUGCAACACCUCAACAGCAACAAGCACACCUGCUACCUAGAACUUGGUUUCUAAAAACCAUCCUCCUCUAAAAGGAAACAGAGCUCUUUGAAGAAACGGUAAUUUCAAAGCUAGAGCACAGAAAGUAUAAGAUGAGCCCAGAAUAUCUUUUUGUACAAGAAAGUAAGGCAAUGCUCAAAGAAUGAUGGAGACAUGCCCAAAAAAAGCAGAGAAGCCAACUUGAAAAGAUUCCAACAGGCCAAAUAUGGGGCGAUUUGAACAUCAGAAUAAAAUGGUGACAGUCACAGAAUUAUAA
rnacentral:lncRNA from 10 species